rnacentral:rRNA from 1 species
AUACCUGUGGUAAUUCUAGAGCUNAUACAUGCGAAAGAUCCCGACUUUCCGGAAGGGAUNUAUUUAUUAGACUAAAACCAAUGCGGGCCUCGGCUNGCUUGCUUGGUGAUUCAUGAUAACUUUUCGAAUCGCAUGGCCUUGCGCCGGCGAUGUUUCAUUCAAAUUUCUGCCCUAUCAACUGUCGAUGGUAAGGUAGUGGCUUACCAUGGUUGCAACGGGUGACGGAGAAUUAGGGUUCGAUUCCGGAGAGGGANCCUGAGAAACGGCUACCACAUCUAAGGAAGGCAGCAGGCACGAAAAUUACCCAAUCCCGAUUCGGGGAGGUAGUGACAAGAAAUAACGGUACNGGGGCCUUUAUAGGUCUCGCAAUMGGAAUGAGAACAAUUNNAAUCCUUU